rnacentral:pre_miRNA from 1 species
AAAAAGGCAAACCCUGAGUUUCCGUGUCCAAUUUUGACUAUCCGUCUUAUAUGAAAUUUUUUUAUAAUUCGUAUUUUUAUUGUUGUUAGAUGAUAAAACAUGAUUAAUAUUUUAUGCGUGACUUAUCUUUUUAAUUUUUUUCAUAAUUUUUUUAAAUAAGACGGACGGUUAAAUGUUAGGCACGAAAACCAGCGUUUGUC